CCUCCCGGGACUGCGCGGUGGAUUUUCCGGGAGCCCGCUGGCCUGAGAGCCGCCGCUGCCUGGGCGCGGUUCCGCCCUCACCCCGGGGGCGACCUGGCGGGUUCCUUGCACGCAGCGGGCCCUGAAUUGGCCGCGGGCGGCUCUGGGUUUGGGCAGCGUCUGCUUCGCCCAGGGCCCACCAGUAGGCCCGGAGCCUUUCGGACGCUCAACCCGGGGGAUCUGCGGCUGAGGGCCCCGGGCCGUUCUUCGCUCCGCGUUCCGAUAUUUCCAAACAUUCCAUCUGGCUUUUGAGCAGUGAUCUGAUCACUCCAGUCACUCCAGAAUGUGGAGACAAAGCAGCGAGAGUCGGCAGAAGAGAGGGAAUAUGGCAACAGUGCUAAUCCAGAGCACAGUGUUUGGAAUCACUAUGGCAUACAACCAAGAGCAUUUGUGGCUGUCCAAUGAGAACCUGAUUGUGAAGCUUCAGGCUUGCUGUUGAGGCUGUCUUGUUUGUCAGGAAUUUGACUCCAGAGUGAGUUUUUUGAAGAAGGAAGUUCCAGCAGUCAGUCACAUCCAGGAUGUCAUUUCUCACAGCAAAAAGCUUUCUAAGGAGAACAAGAAGCAGCUCUGACAUGAUGACGCUGAACAAGCAAAAGGGAGAAUUGAAAGCUUUGAGCAAAGAGAAGGGGGGGGAACAAAGCUGGAAGCCUGUCAACAUCUUUUCUACUUCCUUCAGGAACGCAGCUUCUCGUGCUGCUCCUAGAGCACGCCUCCUGUCAUAGAGGCUUCCCUCUGCCGGUGCAGUCUUGGCAGUGCGCUGCAGCGUUGCGGCAUCGUAAUUCUUUGUGGCGCUGGCCUUUGUGGACGCAUACAUGAAGCAUUUUUCUUCUUGUUGUAGACUAGCCCAGGGUAGUUGGGAAAGCUGAAUUUUUCAGAUGCCUAAAAGCAAAUGCACAGAGCUCAUGGAUUUGGUCAUCUUCACGCUGUGUAACUGUGUCCAGACGAAGAGAGGAAUAUCUGCUGUGUCAGCUUUCCCAAACAGCGCUUCUGGAGGAGAUCAGGUAUGUUGUAGCAUAGGACACAGCCUUGCUGUGUUGCCUCAGUUUGGACAGUUUCUAGAAUGGAAACCGUUCUUGUGUGACGUUCUGUGCUAAUUUGCAGAUAAUUUCCUGCAUUCUGCUUAUCCCAUUUCACAUUAGUCCUUUCUGUAAUCUGGAAAGGAGAAAUUAACUUUGUUCUUUAGGAAUUAAUCUGUUUGUCUUUAGCCCCUACUUUGUUGCUCAGGAAGGCACUAUUUUUGAUCUAAUGUAAUGCCUUUCUGAAAUUCAGUUCAAUCUAAAUUCUCUGCUGUCUAGUAAGAAGGACUGCCCACAGAUUGCAAGCUGGAGCGUUACAGGCCAGUGAUGAAGCUAACAAGGAGGCGUCUGGGUUUUAAAAAAGGAAUCAGAAGGCUGAGAAUCAGAUCUGAGCUGUGCUCUGGAACAGAAUGUACAGCUGGAUCUAGAACAGUUGCCAAAGAGGAGUCUGCAGACAAACGGUGCUGGAUUUCCCAGAGGGAGGUCAUCGAGUUCCUUGCCUUCUCGCAAAGUGUUCUUGUAUUUUUCUUAAAUAGCAUUGCAUGUUACUGCUGUACCAAGACUUUUAUGACAACUCCAUUAUCUGUUUCCUAAAGGUGAUGCUGAGAAACACGUCUCAUGCAUACCUCACGUUUUGUAUUAAUUCUUCCUUUGGGUCAAAAGCAGACCAAAUCCUUGAAAUGAGGCUGAAAUAAAACUGAAUAACUGUCUCACUGUUAUUAAAAUAGUUUGGCUGUGGUUCCUGUGGUCAGAAUGCCCUGUGGCAGCUCCUGGCACCACUUGUGAAUGAAAGAAUUGAUGACAAAUUGCUUGAUAUCACGACCGAUCUGGUGGAUAUUUACAAGCCUUGGGGGAUCCAAACAGGAUCUCAGAGUGGUGAGGCCAGGUCUGGAAGCUGCUACUGCAGUGUUUCUUCUAAGAGUUGCUCGGCUGUUUUGCAUUGCUCUUGUGAGAGGUAGAUUGUGGUUUUGUAGUAGAAGCUUCCAGUAUUUUCUGUAUGUAGUAUAGGUCUACACUGAACUUACAACCCUUUUGUGAAAUAGCAGUUUUCCUUCUGCUAAGUAAGUUGCUAAACAGAGUAAAAAGUUAAGAUUUGGGGCAUUCUGAUGGGGGUAGAACUGAGCCAGGCACAAAAUAAGGCAAAUACGCAGGGUGGAGAGAGCAGGACAGAACAAACGUGCUCAUUCUUGGAAUUGUUGCCCUCCAUGGAAGAGUACAAAACAGACCCAAGAAACAACAGGUUGGUAAUGGACCUUAUGUGGAAAUGAGUCACAGCAACAGUGUUGGGGAGCUUGUGAACCUGAGAUGCGAGCACCAGGAAAGCAUUGCCUGCGUCGGGUUCAAGUGUAUAGAACAGAAUGAAUUUCAAAGACUGGUGUGCAAUUACUCCCUUGAUAACGGGGGUGUGCGCCCGUUGCUGCAAUAAUAAAUGAACUUUGUUGCUAUCAGUAAGAUCCUUGUCUAACCUGAAAUUUUUGACUUGCAGUGUUUCUCACAAACGUGUAACUGAAAUCAGAUUUGGUUAAUUGUUCCAAGCCAUCCUGGGCUUGGCUGCACACAUCUGUCCGAUUGAUACCAGGUUUUUUUUUUUUUUUUUAUUGCCUCAGGCUCUGGCUGUAAAAAAAGCUGAAUAAUA